GACGAACGCUGGCGGCGUGCCUAAUACAUGCAAGUCGAACGCUUCUUUCCUCCCGAGUGCUUGCACUCAAUUGGAAAGAGGAGUGGCGGACGGGUGAGUAACACGUGGGUAACCUACCCAUCAGAGGGGGAUAACACUUGGAAACAGGUGCUAAUACCGCAUAACAGUUUAUGCCGCAUGGCAUAAGAGUGAAAGGCGCUUUCGGGUGUCGCUGAUGGAUGGACCCGCGGUGCAUUAGCUAGUUGGUGAGGUAACGGCUCACCAAGGCCACGAUGCAUAGCCGACCGGAGGGGGGGAUGGGCCACAGGGGAACGGCGACCGGACCCAACCUCGUAGGGGAGGCGCAGGGGGGAAAUCUGGGGAAAGGGCCGAAAGCCUGACCGAGCACGGCGGGGGGAAGAAAGAGGGUUUUCGGAUCGAAAACCUCUGUUUUUAGAGAAAAAAAAGGACGUUAGAAACGGAACGCACCCGGAGGGAAUCAAACCAAAAAGCCACGGCUAACUACGG
rnacentral:rRNA from 1 species